rnacentral:rRNA from 1 species
GAUGAACGCUGGCGGCGUGCCUAAUACAUGCAAGUCGAGCGAACAGACGAGGAGCUUGCUCCUCUGACGUUAGCGGCGGACGGGUGAGUAACACGUGGAUAACCUACCUAUAAGACUGGGAUAACUUCGGGAAACCGGAGCUAAUACCGGAUAAUAUAUUGAACCGCAUGGUUCAAUAGUGAAAGACGGUUUUGCUGUCACUUAUAGAUGGAUCCGCGCCGCAUUAGCUAGUUGGUAAGGUAACGGCUUACCAAGGCAACGAUGCGUAGCCGACCUGAGAGGGGGAUCGGCCACACUGGAACUGAGACACGGUCCAGACUCCUACGGGAGGCAGCAGUAGGGAAUCUUCCGCAAUGGGCGAAAGCCUGACGGAGCAACGCCGCGUGAGUGACGAAGGUCUUCGGAUCGGAAAACUCUGUUAUUAGGGAAGAAAAAAUGUGUAAGUAACUAUGCACGUCUUGACGGUACCUAAUCAGAAAGCCACGGCUAACUACGUG